rnacentral:rRNA from 1 species
ACGCUCGACACCUACUGGAGGCAGCAGUGAGGAAUAUUGGUCAAUGGACGCAAGUCUGAACCAGCCAUGCCGCGUGCAGGAUGACGGCUCUAUGAGUUGUAAACUGCUUUUGUACGAGGGUAAACGCAGAUACGUGUAUCUGUCUGAAAGUAUCGUACGAAUAAGGAUCGGCUAACUCCGUGCCUGCAGCCGCGGUAAUCUGAGCGGGCUGGCAAGGC